rnacentral:rRNA from 1 species
AGCAGCCGCGGUAAUUCCAGCUCCAAUAGCGUAUAUUAAAGUUGUUGCAGUUAAAAAGCUCGUAGUUGAAUUUCGGGAUCAGUACGCUGGUCAUGCCUUUGGUAUGCACUGGUGUCACUGGUUUCUCCCUUCUGAAGAACCGUGAUGUCAUUAAUUUGGUGUCGCGGGGAAUCAGGACUGUUACUUUGGAAAAAUUAGAGUGUUUAAAGCAGGCUCACGCUUGAAUACAUUAGCAUGGAAUAAUGAAAUAGGACGUUUGACCCUAUUUUGUUGGUUUCUAGGAUCGACGUAAUGAUUAAUAGGGAUAGUUGGGGGCAUUAGUAUUCAAUUGUCAGAGGUGAAAUUCUUGGAUUUAUUGAAGACUAACUACUGCGAAAGCAUUUGCCAAGGAUGUUUUCAUUAAUCAAGAACGAAAGUUAGGGGAUCGAAGACGAUCAGAUACCGUCGUAGUCUUAACCAUAAACUAUGCCGACUAGGGAUCGGAUGAUGUUAAUUUUAUAAUGA